rnacentral:sRNA from 1 species
GCUAGCGGAACUUCCUAAAGCCGCCUGCGUCCUGUGGGUAACGUAGAAGUCAGCACAUCCUGUACA